CCUCAUUUCAACCAAUCCAGCCAGAUGGGUGGGACGCCUACCACAGCAUGACUUUUGCCAAGCGGUGCCAUGUCCGCACCCGGGAUCCGAACCAGCAAACCCCGGGCCUCCGAGAAGCGGAAUGUGCGAACUUAACCACUGUGCCACCGGGCCGGCCCCCAGAUGUAACAAGAAGAAACUCUAUGUUCUGUUUUGCAGAAACUGAUGUUCCCGGUUUGCAGAUGUUGCUACCUUGCAGAGAAAUUAACACACUUGCCCCAAGACCCCUGCAAAUUGUUCCAGCUCCAAGCGUCCUAAAGCUACCUUAAGCUCAUUAGCAUCUUAAAUUCUCCUCCUCUGGGAGGGUCCCAGCCCCCAUUUCCAGAUCAGGGGGUGUACACAGUGGCAUGUUUACCUGCUACACAUGUGCCCUGAAAGAGCACAGUUGUUACAUGGCUGUUACAAAUAGACCUGUUUCCUCUGCUCUCUUGUGGAUGAAGUCUCCAGGGGCACUGAGCCCGGAGAGACACUGCGUUGGGUAACAUCCCAGGUGUUCUCCAUUGCUUGUGCAGGCAAUAAAGCUUUUCUUCACCCA
rnacentral:lncRNA from 1 species